CAGUUCAAGAAGCAGAGUAAUCUAUAAUGGUUUGUGAGCCUUUCAAUCUCUGCCGAGGUAAAAUGCACAGGAGGUUUAAGGAAUUAAUUGAGGGCAAGAAAAACUGAAGUAUAAUCUACAAAGCAGUCUGAAGAAAGCAUGUGAAUACCCAGAUGAUGUGUGAACAGAGACAAAUGAGCAGAGAGACAAACCACUGCUGCAGGAUGCUACAACCAAGUUCAACUGCAGAGCCCAGUGUUGCUUACUCCUCUAAAGGGCUAAAAAGUGCUGAGAAAUAUGAAUAAGGAUUUAAGGCCCAGAAGAAAUGGGAAGAACAUCUAACACUUGGAUUUGUUUACUUUGGGAGAGAAAGACUGGUUGGGCACCAAAAAUGACAAGUGGAUGAAGUACCAUAAAUACAUCAGGAACCACGAACUACAGAACCUUCAGCAUUCAAAAAUUGCAGACUUCCUUCAACUUUAACCUCCACCAUUUAAUCUUUAUGGUUGAGAGCUCACUUGCACUACUAAUUGCUGUACCUCUAGUUUCUUUUGACAUUGGCCUAGCUAUAGUUUUCAGAAAGGCUGGGAUUUGAUUUUUAACCCAAAACAGAGACAUUACUGAAAAUCUAUUUGUUCUGUGUGAUGAAAGCUUGGAAAAUUUGGCUCACUUGUGGUCUUUUUCUACUCUAAGCUUUUUGCAGUGAAAUUUUCUUUGGGUCAGAAGAGCAUACCACAAACCCUGUUGACACUCCCUUAUGUAAUCUGUCUUACUGAUUUCAGUGGGACAACUUCUCAUGCUGGAUGAUGUUUUAUAUGUAGAAUCAAAGCAGGAGUGAGGUGAAAGGCCAGCAGAAGUCAACUGUGAGGCAUGGUCCACAGCAGUCAGCUUGUGUUUGGGAACUUCUAGGUUCCUUUGAAAUGCCCCUUUAUUUAGAGCUUAUGAGGGGAAAGAAAGGAUAAAUCAGUUGAUGGUGGAGCAACU